GNGAAACUUUUCCUCUCCACGCCCAUUCNUUAAGGGGNCCCCGAGUNGGAGGGCAUACAGUCCNNCUUUUNGUGACCNUAAGGUGGUCACAGAAUAAGAGNUGGGCAAGACCGGUGCCAGCCGCCGCGGUAAUACCGGCAGCUCGAGUGAUAGCCANUAUUAUUGGGCNUAAAGCGUCCGUAGCCGGCCGAACAGGUCCGUCGGGAAAUCCACCCGCUCAACGGGUGGACGUCCGGCGGAAACCAGUCGGCUUGGGGCCGGGAGACCAGAGAGGUACGUCCGGGGUAGGAGUGAAAUCCUGUAAUCCUGGACGGACCACCGGUAGCGAAAGCGUCUCUGGAGAACGGACCCGACGGUGAGGGACGAAAGCUUGGGUCCCGAACCGGAUUAGAUACCCGGGUAGUCCAAGCUGUAAACGAUGCUCGCUGGGUGCGGCGCAGGCUACGAGCUUGCGCUGUGCCGUAGGGAAGCCGAGAAGCGAGCCGCCUGGGAAGUACGUCCGCAAGGAUGAAACUUAAAGGAAUUGGCGGGGGAGCAC
rnacentral:rRNA from 1 species